GGGAGGUUGCCCGAGCGGCCAACGGGAGCCGGACUGUAAAUCCGUCGCGAAAGCUACGAAGGUUCGAAUCCUUCACCUGCCACCA
rnacentral:tRNA from 1 species